rnacentral:rRNA from 1 species
AGAGUUAGGUAAAUCCGGCUCUUUUUAAGGCUGAGACACGACGUCGAGCAUCUACGGAGUGAAGUCAUUGAUGCCAUGCUUCCAGGGAAAAGCCUCUAAGCUUCAGAUUGUAAGGAAUCGUACCCCAAACCGACACAGGUGGCGGGUAGAGAAUACCAAGGCGCUUGAGAGAACUCGGGUGAAGGAACUAGGCAAAAUGGUACCGUAACUUCGGGAGAAGGUACGCUCUCGACGGUGAAGUCCCUCGCGGAUGGAGCUAUUGAGAGUCGCAGAUACCAGGUGGCUGCAACUGUUUAUUAAAAACACAGCACUGUGCAAAAUCGUAAGAUGACGUAUACGGUGUGACGCCUGCCCGGUGCCGGAAGGUUAAUUGAUGGGGUUAGACUUCGGUCGAAGCUCUUGAUCGAAGCCCCGGUAAACGGCGGCCGUAACUAUAACGGUCCUAAGGUAGCGAAAUUCCUUGUCGGGUAAGUUCCGACCUGCACGAAUGGCGUAAUGAUGGCCACGCUGUCUCCACCCGAGACUCAGUGAAAUUGAAAUCGCUGUGAAGAUGCAGUGUACCCGCGGCUAGACGGAAAGACCCCGUGAACCUUUACUACAGCUUGGCACUGAACAUUGACCCUACAUGUGUAGGAUAGGUGGGAGGCUUUGAAGCACGUACGCCAGUAUGUGUGGAGCCGUCCUUGAAAUACCACCCUUGUAGUGUUGAUGUUCUAACGUCGACCCCUUAUCGGGGUUGCGGACAGUGCCUGGUGGGUAGUUUGACUGGGGCGGUCUCCUCCCAAAGAGUAACGGAGGAGCACGAAGGUGGGCUAAUCACGGUUGGACAUCGUGAGGUUAGUGCAAUGGCAUAAGCCCGCUUGACUGCGAGAAUGACAAUUCGAGCAGGUGCGAAAGCAGGUCAUAGUGAUCCGGUGGUUCUGAAUGGAAGGGCCAUCGCUCAACGGAUAAAAGGUACUCCGGGGAUAACAGGCUGAUACCGCCCAAGAGUUCAUAUCGACGGCGGUGUUUGGCACCUCGAUGUCGGCUCAUCACAUCCUGGGGCUGAAGUCGGUCCCAAGGGUAUGGCUGUUCGCCAUUUAAAGUGGUACGCGAGCUGGGUUUAGAACGUCGUGAGACAGUUCGGUCCCUAUCUGCCGUGGGCGUUGGAAGAUUGAAGGGGGCUGCUCCUAGUACGAGAGGACCGGAGUGGACGAACCUCUGGUGUUCGGGUUGUGUCGCCAGACGCAUUGCCCGGUAGCUAAGUUCGGAAUCGAUAACCGCUGAAAGCAUCUAAGCGGGAAGCGAGCCCUGAGAUGAGUCUUCCCUGAUACUUUAAGUAUCCUAAAGGGUUGUCGGAGACUACGACGUUGAUAGGUCAGGUGUGUAAGUGCUGUGAGGCAUUGAGCUAACUGAUACUAAUUGCCCGUGAGGCUUAACCAUACAACACCCAAGGGGUUU